CCUACGGGUGGCAGCAGUGGGGAAUAUUGCACAAUGGGGGAAACCCUGAUGCAGCGACGCCGCGUGAGUGUAGAAGUCUUUCGGUAUGUAAAGCUCUAUCAGCAGGGAAGAAAAUGACGGUACCUGAUUCAGACGCCCCGGCUAACUACGUGCCAGCAGCCGCGGUAAUACGUAGGGGGCACGCGUUAUCCGGAUUUACUGGGUGUAAAGGGAGCGUAGACGGCAGCACAAGUCUGUGGUGAAAUGGCGGGGCUUAACCCCUGAACUGCUUUUGAAACUGUGCAGCUAGAGUGCAGGAGAGGUAAGUGGAAUGCCUAGUGUAGCGGUGAAAUGCGUAGAUAUUAGGAGGAACACCAGUGGCGAAGGCGGCUUACGGGACUGUAACUGACGUUGAGGCUCGAAAGCGUGGGGAGCAAACAGGAUUAGAUACCCGUGUAGUC
rnacentral:rRNA from 1 species